rnacentral:rRNA from 2 species
UAAUACGGGGGAUGCAAGCGUUAUCCGGAUUUAUUGGGUUUAAAGGGUGCGUAGGCGGUUUGAUAAGUCAGCGGUGAAAUAUUUCAGCUUAACUGAAAGGGUGCCGUUGAUACUGUCAGGCUUGAAUAUGGUUGCUGUGGGUGGAAUGUGUGGUGUAGCGGUGAAAUGCUUAGAUAUCACACAGAAUAUCGAUUGCGAAGGCAGCUCACAAAGCCAUUAUUGACGCUGAUGCACGAAAGUGUGGGGAUCAAACAGGAUUAGAUACCCUGGUAGUCCACACUGUAAACGAUGAUAACUCGCUGUCGGCGAUACACAGUCGGUAGCCAAGCGAAAGCGAUAAGUUAUCCACCUGGGGAGUACGACCGCAAGGUUGAAACUCAAAUGAAUUGACGG